CAGUAGCCACGGGAAUACGAAGGGGGCUAGCGUUGCUCGGAAUCACUGGGCGUAAAGGGUGCGUAGGCGGGUCUUUAAGUCAGGGGUGAAAUCCUGGAGCUCAACUCCAGAACUGCCUUUGAUACUGAAGAUCUUGAGUUCGGGAGAGGUGAGUGGAACUGCGAGUGUAGAGGUGAAAUUCGUAGAUAUUCGCAAGAACACCAGUGGCGAAGGCGGCUCACUGGCCCGAUGCCGACGCUGAGGUGCGAAAGCGUGGGGAGCAAACAGGAUUAGAUACCCCUGUAGUCCCUGUCUCUUAUAA
rnacentral:rRNA from 1 species